AGCAGAGAGCAGGGUAGUGGCUUUUUGAGUGUCUCAUUCUCUCUCUUCAUGUUCUGAGUAAGCGAGUGAGUGAAAUCUGUGAAAGCAAAAAGCUUUUUUAAGUCUCACCCUUUUGGCUUCCAAUUUUUGAUGUUGCAUUUGCACUUGCAUUGAGGCGUUUUUGGUUGCCGAGAUUUUUGGGUGUUACCUUGUUUCUGCAGGUGAAGAUGUUCACUGAAGGACUUGACAAAAAUGCACUUAGAUGGGUUAGAGAGAAGGAUAUUCCAAUCUCCAGCUCCACAUUAAGAUCUCGAAAUGAUCCCAUCAGUGUAGUGAAGGGUGGUAGUGGUAGAGGGUUUGGGUUGCCACCACCAGCAAAAUUCAGAAGUGGGCACAU